rnacentral:sRNA from 1 species
CUGGUCCGUCCCGUGGACCGCCUGACCAUCCGGGCCGGGACCCGGCUACCCUGGCGGCGUGUGCCCACCGCGGGACGUCGCCCGGGCACCGGAAAGCCGACAGCCGUCGCACCUGAGGGAGCCCUUUCAUG